CUGAGGUUCAUUCAGGCUCCUGAAGGACCUGGAGUCUUCCAGAAGAGCAUUUGUCCAUGGUGCGCUGGCUUGGAUGUCAAAGCUGGUUUGAGAAACACUUUCCUCCCUCCACCGCUUUUUUUAUGGUCCCUGAUUUAUGUCAAGACAGCUGUCAGCAGUGCUAUGCUGUAACUGAACUGCUGAAGUGACUUGGGGUAAAAAUUCCUUUCAACAGUAGUUUUUGGGGGUAUUAAUUUUAACAUUAGGCCUUCCUGCACAUUUAAUGCUCAGGUUUUAGUCUAACAGCAGAAUCCAGAUUUGGAUCUAAGAGAGUCUAAACUAGCAUAUUAAAUAGGCAUUUAUUCAAAUCUGUUUUCAUAUUUGAAACUACAUUUAAUGGUACGAACAAAAUUGGAAGAAAGAAUAUGUUUUCACAGUGUGAUCUUUUUCUAACCUUCCUAAUUUGAGGACUGUCCCAAAAGAGCAGAAGGAGACCAGGGCUCUUUGCUUUUCCCAUUCCUAGUGAGAUGCUCUCCAUAUACACUUCUGCACUUCCAGGGGAAACUCGCCUCCAGUUUUGUGCUUCUGUUGGCUUCUGUAAACUGUGGAUCAAUGCCAUCUGUAAAUGGGAUAUGCCAGCAAGGUGGACGGACAUCCAUUUGGGAAGGAAGAUGGAAUGCACAUCAGGAAACUGUGGAUUUUUCAAUGCUGAAUGUCUUUAAAGGUAUGACAUAGUUGGCAUGAAGUCAAUGCCUCGCCUGGUGUUUGUCACUCCUGGUGGCGUGUGUUGCUGUGCUUUUGUCUCAUGCAGCUAGUGUGGGCUGCAGGAGAAUCUCACACACAAUGCAAGUCAAGGUUCUUCACAUCUCUUGUUUUCUCUGCUGGCCACGUUUUUCAUGUGGGCUGUGCAACAGACUGUUCCCUGCUGGAGGAAUAACUUCAGGUUAUCCAUAUGGGUGUCCUGCAACCAUGAAGCACAAGGAGAGAUGACUUUCAUCAAGAGAGGUGGCCAAACUAGUCAAGGAGGUACUGUGUCACCAUGAUGAUUCAAGGGGAAUCAAACAUGGGAAAAGAUCUCAAAAUUUCAAAGACAUAGUUUUUGUGCAGGACAGAGGAGCAGAAAGAAGAAUAAUCUUGACCUUCUGUAGCAGUUUAAAUGGAAACUUAAAGAUACCAGACAUUCCUACAGGAUGGAGAGGAUGCUUUUUAAUGAAGGAAUGACACAAAUCUUUUCACUAACCAUAGCACAAGAUUCUCUGUCUUGUUAUCUUCAUGCAAUAUUAAAGCAAUUUAAUACAUUAAAAC
rnacentral:lncRNA from 1 species